rnacentral:lncRNA from 1 species
UGGAAGCUCCGCACAGAGCUUUCAUCUUUGUGCCAGAGGAGGCACCAAAAACAUUAAAGUCGGUUUAAUAACCUGAAAACAAGCCAUACAGUCAGUUCAGUAAAAGUCUGAAGAAUCUCUACUCUACUCUACUCUAAAGAUUGACCAGCAGAUGUCCUCAGUGAGGAAAACUUUUGUGACCAAAAUGAAGACCACGAGAAAGAGUUCAACUCCAGUCCACGUGCGCGUUAAUGAUGCCACACCAGCCCACGUGCAGAUGAAGAGCGGCAUGAAGAGCUCUCAGGGAAAGCCUCUUCGUCCUUCAGCUGAAGGGAAAACCUGUGUCCCAUGGAUUCCUCCAGGGAAAAACUGCCCUUGGAAACACACUCAAAAGUGUGAUGUGAGCAGACGCUUGUGGUGCUCUUCAUCAUUCCACGAACAUUCCACCAAGGGGCCGACACACCACCAGCAGAUCUGUCCUCCUCGUGCCCAUGCAUCCAAGCGCGAGUUCUCCCAGUUUAAGCUGACAGUGGCCGACCUGCUGUCUGAGGAUGAGGAUGAGAAUCAGGAUGAGUAUCAGGAUGAGGAUCAGGAUGAGGAUCAGAAUGAGGAUCAGAAGAGCCUGAAGGGACUCAUCACUCAUUACGAGAGGAAG